UCCAUAUUGUAACAAUUCCAGUCAAUUAUUCUCCCAUCCUUAGGAUCAUACGUAGUCCCUUCGACGCUAAAAGUUCGCCAGGUUGUAGUUUUACCUCCCAAUGUAAAGAACUCUGUCACAGACAUCUGAUUGGUAGUCAAGGUUCCUGUUUUAUCAGAACAAAUCACACAAAAGUUCUCCAGGUUGUAGUUUUACCUCCCAAUGUAAAGAACUCUGUCACAGACAUCUGAUUGGUAGUCAAGGUUCCUGUUUUAUCUGAACAAAUCACAGUUGUGCAUCCUAAGGUUUCCACACUUGGAAGUUUCCGCACUAUUGCGUUCUUUUGUGCCAUUUUCCUUGUACCCAGAGCUAAGCAAGUAGUAAUUACAGCAGGAAGACCUUC
rnacentral:lncRNA from 1 species